GAUGAACGCUGGCGGCGUGCCUAACACAUGCAAGUCGAACGGAGUCCAGCCUUUAAGACCUUCGGGUCAAAGAGGGGAAGACUGAGUGGCGGACGGGUGAGUAACACGUGGGCAACCUGGCUCAUAGAGGGGGAUAACAGAGAGAAAUUUCUGCUAAUACCGCAUAAGCACACACUGCCGCAUGGCCGGGGGUGAAAAGCGAAUCGCUAUGAGAUGGACCCGCGUCUGAUUAGCCAGUUGGCAGGGUAAGAGCCUACCAAAGCGACGAUCAGUAGCCGAUCUGAGAGGAUGAACGGCCACAUUUGGACUGAGACACGGCCCAAACUCCUACGGGAGGCAGCAGAAGGGGAUAUUGCACAAUGGGGGGAACCCUGAUGCAGCGACGCCGCGGGAGUGGAGAAGUAUUUCGGUAUGUAAAGCUCUAUCAGCAGGGAAGAUAAUGACAGUACCGGAAUAAGAAGCCCCGGCUAACUACGUG
rnacentral:rRNA from 1 species